ACAUGGGUAGCUAAGUGGUACAGCACUUGCCAAGGAUGCAUGUAGCCUUGGGUUCAAUCCCUAGCACCACAUGUG
rnacentral:tRNA from 1 species